GAGGAAACAGGAAGUGUGCCUCUUUUCCCCUCUGCUCCUGCUCCAGUGGCACAAUGUGAUCCACUGGCAAUGAGGGACUCCAAUGAGGCGUCCAAUAAGAUAAUUUCGUUAUAUGGCCCAAGCUAGAGUGGACUUUUGAUCUGCUUGCCUCCGAUUCCCAAGAGCUGAGAGUAUAGGUAUGGACCACCAUGCUAGAAUCCUUGGGGGAAUUUCAUUUGACUGCAUAUCACAGAGUCACCAAGGAUGGGUUUUAAUCACAUGCUGGAUGGAGCCUACGUAUGCUUUUUCUGGAUGGAUUUGCUAGCACUGAAGACAGAUGCAGGUUCAGUUACAACAGCAUCAGCAUCAUCAGCAUCAUCAGCAUCAUCACCAUCAGCAUCAUCACCAUCAUCACCAUCAUCACCAUCAGCAGCAGCAGCGGCAGCAGUGGCAGCAAUGUUUUAGAGAUGUUGGCUAUCUUGUCAUUUUACAUUCUUCUUCAGUCUGCUGAAGUCAUACCUAUGUCAUGGACUCCUAUAAGUGAACAAGGUGACUACAUUUCCAAGCCCAGUGGCAGUAAGAAGUCCCAGCACCACUCCUUGCAACACAUCUUCCCAGAGUUAAGUAGACUGAUAGAUGGUGAUGACUACAUGGCAUGUUUGCAGCCCUUGGAAUUUAUGACUUGUUUUAUUAGCUCUUCUUUAGAACCUCCCAUAAGGAUGGCCAGUAACACUGUGAUGAAAUCAAGGUCUCAGUGACAACAUGAGUGUGACAACUCAUUGCUUCCAUGGAUGAGGUUGGGUGGUUUUUAACAUUAAUAAUGAAGAGACUAUGACUACUCCAGGUACCAAGUCAAUGGAAGUGACUAGUGUCGAUGAUCUUUGAAGACUUCUUCAUUAAGCAAAUAAUUUCCCGAGGUACUUUUUCCUCUGACUGCUGCACAUUUCGUCCCAGAUAUCUUAAUCUUCUCAAAAGAGGUAAAAGCACUUACAGUGAAAGCAUGAGGAUGUGUUCAACCCCUGGAACCUUUGUAAAAGAACAAGAUGUGCUAGCACCGGUCUGAAAUAAGAACCAGAAGUGCUAGCACCUGUCUGUAAUAGCAGGACUUGUAAGGGAAGAGCUGAAGCAGGGAUGGAGAAUCUCCUGGCAGCUCCAAGGCCAGUCUGACUGGAAUACACAGUGCAGCAGAAAAGAGACUGUGUUUCUACAGAGAUGAAGGAUAAAACAGACUCACAAAGAGUCUCCUGACCUCUACACCCACACUGUGGCAUUUACAUAGCUGUACAUUCACACACAUGGAGAAACAUGCAUGUGUGCACAUGUAUGCCCAUGGAUUUGGAGAGUCAAUAUUUUGAAAAUGCCAUAAAACCAAGCAAAAUCUGUAGAUUUCAAGGAAAUCAAAAUU
rnacentral:lncRNA from 1 species